rnacentral:tRNA from 1 species
AGGCCGGUAGCCAAGCGGCUCAAGGCAUCCGCCUUUUAAGCGGGGGAACGUCGGUUCGAAUCCGACCCGGCCUA